AGCGAACGCUGGCGGCAGGCUUAACACAUGCAAGUCGAGCGCCCCGCAAGGGGAGCGGCAGACGGGAGAGUAACACGUGGGAACAUACCUUUUGGUUCGGAACAACUGAGGGAAACUUCAGCUAAUACCGGAUAAGCCCUUACGGGGAAAGAUUUAUCGCCGAAAGAUUGGCCCGCGUCUGAUUAGCUAGUUGGUGAGGUAACGGCUCACCAAGGCGACGAUCAGUAGCUGGUCUGAGAGGAUGAUCAGCCUCACUGGGACUGAGACACGGCCCAGACUCCUCCGGGAGGAGGCAGGGGGGAAUUUUGGACAUGGGGGGCAACCCUAUCCCGGCAUUGCCGCGUAGGUAAUAAAGGCCUUAGGUUUGAAAAGCUCUUUUGCCCGGGAGGAUAAGGCCGUACCCGGGAGAAUAAGCCCGGCUAACUUCGUG
rnacentral:rRNA from 1 species